rnacentral:rRNA from 1 species
GAUGAACGCUGGCGGCGUGCCUAAUACAUGCAAGUCGAGCGAACGGACGAGAAGCUUGCUUCUCUGAUGUUAGCGGCGGACGGGUGAGUAACACGUGGAUAACCUACCUAUAAGACUGGGAUAAAUUCGGGAAACCGGAGCUAAUACCGGAUAAUAUUUUGAACCGCAUGGUUCAAAAGUGAAAGACGGUCUUGCUGUCACUUAUAGAUGGAUCCGCGCUUCAUUAGCUAGUUGGUAAGGUAACGGCUUACCAAGGCAACGAUGCAUAGCCGACCUGAGAGGGUGAUCGGCCACACUGGAAGUGAGACACGGUCCAGACUCCUACGGGAGGCAGCAGUAGGGAAUCUUCCGCAAUGGGCGAAAGCCUGACGGAGCAACGCCGCGUGAGUGAUGAAGGUCUUCGGAUCGUAAAACUCUGUUAUUAGUGAAGAACAUAUGUGUAAGUAACUGUGCACAUCUUGACGGUACCUAAUCAGAAAGCCACGGCUAACUACGUG